UACGGGGGGGGCAAGCGUUGUUCGGAAUUACUGGGCGUAAAGGGCUCGUAGGCGGCCAGCUAAGUCAGACGUGAAAUCCCUCGGCUUAACCGGGGAACUGCGUCUGAUACUGGAUGGCUCGAGUGUGGGAGAGGGAUGCGGAAUUCCAGGUGUAGCGGUGAAAUGCGUAGAUAUCUGGAGGAACACCGGUGGCGAAGGCGGCAUCCUGGACCACGACUGACGCUGAGGAGCGAAAGCCAGGGGAGCAAACGGG
rnacentral:rRNA from 1 species